rnacentral:rRNA from 1 species
CCCGCUCAGAAACUACAAAGGAAGUUGACGGGGCCCGCACAAGCGGUGGAGUAUGUGGUUUAAUUCGAUGCAACGCGAAGAACCUUACCUGGUCUUGACAUCCCGGAGACCCUUAGGAAACUAGGGGGUGCUUCCAUCUGGAAGAAUCUGGAGACAGGUGCUGCAUGGCUGUCGUCAGCUCGUGUCGUGAGAUGUUGGGUUAAGUCCCGCAACGAGCGCAACCCUUGCCUUUAGUUGCCAGCAGUUCGGCUGGGCACUCUAAAGGGACUGCCGGUGUUAAACCGGAGGAAGGUGGGGAUGACGUCAAGUCCUCAUGGCCUUUAUGACCAGGGCUACACACGUACUACAAUGGCCGAUACAAAGGGCAGCGACACUGCGAGGUGAAGCCAAUCCCGUAGAAUCGGUCUCAGUCCGGAUUGGAGUCUGCAACUCGACUCCAUGAAGUUGGAAUCGCUAGUAAUCGUGGAUCAGCAUGCCACGGUGAAUACGUUCCCGGGCCUU